GAUAAACGCUGGCGGUGUGCUUUAUGCAUGCAAGUCGAACGGUCUUGAUUUAUCAAGACAGUGGCGAACGGGUGAGUAACACGUAAGUAACCUGCCCCUAAGUAAGGGAUAACUUUGAGAAAUUGGAGCUAAUACCUUAUGUGGUGGUGGAGGUAAGGCUUCACCACUAAAGUCUUCGGGCGCUUAGGGAGGGCUUGCGUCCGAUUAGCUAGUUGGUAGGUAACGGUCUACCAAGGCGGUGAUCGGUAGCUGGUCUGAGAGGGCGACCAGCCACAUUGGGACUGAGACACGGCCCAGACUCCUACGGGUGGCUG
rnacentral:rRNA from 1 species